rnacentral:lncRNA from 1 species
GCUCCAUGUUUGUUUCUGCUGCUCUGAGGUGAUCUUCUGUUUUACUUUGGGAAGGAAAUUUAGAGAGUCAAAAGUCUUCUGACGUAUUCCUGAUAUUGCUAAAAAUUCUCUUCAUAGGACUGAAUACAAUCCUAUUUGCAAUUCAAGACUCCAGAGGAUCUGAAGUGUCAUCCUUAAGGGCCAAUAUUUUCUACUAUCUAUCUUCUCUCUGGUAAAGAAAGGGAAAUAUUAGAAUG